rnacentral:rRNA from 1 species
UACGUAGGGGGCAAGCGUUGUCCGGAUUUAUUGGGCGUAAAGAGCGUGUAGGCGGCCAGGUAGGUCUGGUGUGAAAACUCGAGGCUUAACCUUGAGAUGUCAUCGGAAACCAUUUGGCUAGAGUCCGGAAGAGGAAAGUGGAAUUCCUGGUGUAGCGGUGAAAUGCGCAGAUAUCAGGAAGAACACCAAUGGCGGAAGCAGCUUUCUGGGACGGUACUGACGCUGAGACGCGAAAGCGUGGGGAGCGAACAGG